UACGUAGGUGGCAAGCGUUGUCCGGAAUCAUUGGGCGUAAAGCGGGUGUAGGUGGCUCUAUAAGUCAGGAGUGAAAGCCCCGAGCUUAACUUGGGAAGUGCUUUUGAUACUGUAGAGCUUGAGCGUGGGAGAGGAUCGUGGAAUUCCAGGUGUAGUGGUGAAAUACGUAGAUAUCUGGAGGAACACCGGUGGCGAAGGCGGCGAUCUGGCCCAACACUGACACUGAGACCCGAAAGCAUGGGGAUCAAACAGG
rnacentral:rRNA from 1 species